UACAGAGGGUGCAAGCGUUAAUCGGAAUUACUGGGCGUAAAGCGCACGUAGGCGGUUAGUUAAGUUGGAUGUGAAAGCCCCGGGCUCAACCUGGGAACUGCAUUUGAAACUGGGAAACUAGAGUGUGUGAGAGGGGGGUAGAAUUCCAAGUGUAGCGGUGAAAUGCGUAGAGAUUUGGAGGAAUACCAGUGGCGAAGGCGGCCCCCUGGCACAACACUGACGCUCAGGUGCGAAAGCGUGGGGAGCAAACAGG
rnacentral:rRNA from 1 species